AAAGGAGCUUCAGUUGAGAAAAUGCCUCCAUGAGAUCCAGCUGUAAGGCAUUUUCUCAAUUAGUGAU
ensembl:miRNA Gm23992 predicted gene, 23992